rnacentral:lncRNA from 1 species
UUGUCUGGUCCAGAUUCGAUUUUUUUCAGACCGCCGUCAUAUAGCUGGAAUAUUGCUGGGUGCGGUGUUAAACAACAAACAAACAAACAAUCAAACUAACAAACAAACAAAACUAUAUGUGGACGGGUCACCUCACCUUGAUGGUUGUGUUCCGUAUAAGGCCAGAUUUUUUGUAGUUUUUUGGACGGAUUUUGAAAGUGAAAAAUAUGGUAGGUAGGUCGAAAAAACAAACAAAUGUGUUGUAUAGGUAUUUGUGUCAUCAUUCUAAAGUUCGAUUCGGAAUUGAUAAAUGAUCAAGGUAAAGUCCUGGCCGGGUGGGGUCCUUAUAACUAUUAUAAUAAAUCCAACAAGUGACGGCGGCAUGUCAUUAUCAUUAUUUUUUUUGUCAAAGCGUUCUUUACCGUCGGCGGUAUAAAGAAACUUUCAUUCUGAUUUCAUAAUGUUUAUUUAUAAUAUUUUCGAAAAUGAGGUCAGUAGAUCCGUAAACCAAGCGAAAAAGAAGUGUUUUUUUGUGUGUUGACCUUUGAUGAGUUUAUUGAAUACGUCUAUUAUGUUCUGAGCUUUAAUGUUUUACGUGUGUCAUAUCAUUUGUUUCCAUUGAUAUUUAAACAAAUUCAAAUGUAAUUCUUUACAUUCAUUGCUAUUUUAACAAAUUCAAAUUUAAUUCUUUACAUUAUUUUAUUUUCAGUGAUUCAAGUUUUAGAUACCUCAUUUACAUCUCAUUACAACAAUCCAGGCUCAGACUCCAUCAUGUACAGGCCACCGUUAUAGACAGUAAACCCUCGUGUCGAACUUUGAUGUGUCGAAUUCCCGGCUGUCUCGAACUCACCUUCAGGUCCCCACGAAUUCCUUCUACAUUUAUAAUCGUUUAUACUCGUGUCUGUGGAACGGGAUGUGUCGAAUUCCCUGUUGUUGGGUGUAUCCAAAUUAUCACAAGUAGCCAAAUUAAGAAUAGAAUUCCCCUGAUGACUCGAACACAAUCUCUCAUAACAUGAUGUUUGAUUUUCUUAAAUUCACUCUGUUGUCUCGAACACCGGAUAACUCGAACCUUUUUCAAGGUCCCCACGAGUUCGACACAAAGAGGUAUGGGAGUAACGGUGGUCUUGGCCCUGAGAUCGCUUUGCGGAAGGACACUCUGUCUGGUUUAGUGUGACGUCAUACCCCUAAAGGGUGCUUUCAUGCUCAUACUAUCGACCACCGGUUUGACUGCUGCACUAUGACCGUGUGAUGGUAUAAACUAUAUAUAUAUCACCUCGGAACAGAGCUUUUGUGUUUCCCGUGGCUUUUUUAUGUGGAGUUAUGUGGAGUUUUUAAAUGCUAUAUUUUCAUAUAUGAAAAGAUUUUAUAUUCCAAGAUGUACCAAAAUCAGCUUUAUUUUUUUGCAUAUGCUUAUAGUGAUAUGUUUUAUGUAUGUUAUCGGAUCACAAAGGCACACUGGGAGUAUAUACUAUUGUGUUCUAAAUUAUGUCUCACGGAUUAUGUUAUUGUUUGCUUUGCUAUGUGUUUGGUUUGCUUGACGGGUGAUUCAAAUGUGUUCUACUCGGUAUUUGAUAGGGAUACUCUGGUUGAGCGUCCAGAUGGGGAAUAUAUCUGACUGGUUGGGCGUCCAGAUGGGGGAUAUAUCUGACUGGUUGAGCGUCCACAUGGGGGAUAUAUCUGACUGAUUGGGCGUCCAGAUGGGGAAUAUAUCUGACUGGUUGAGCGUCCAGAUGGGGGAUAUAUCUAAUGGGUUGGGUGCCCAGAUGGGGGAUAUCUGACUGUUUAGGCGCCCAGAUGGGGGAUAUAUCUGACUGUUUAGGCGCCCAGAUGGGGGAUAUAUCUGACUGUUUAGGCGUUCAGAUGGGGAAUAUAUGUGACUGGUUAGGCGCCCAGAUGGGCGAUAUAUGUGACUGGUUAGGCGCCCAGAUGAGGGAUAUAUGUGACUGGUUAGGCGCCCAGAUGGGGGAUAUAUGUGACUGGUUAGGCGCCCAGAUGAGGGAUAUAUGUGACUGUUUAGGCGCCCAGAUGGGGGAUAUAUGUGACUGGUUGAGCGCCCAGAUGGGGGAUAUAUCUGACUGUUUAGGCGUCCAGAUGGGGGAUAUAUGUGACUGGUUAGGCGCCCAGAUGGGGGAUAUAUGUGACUGGUUAGGCGCCCAGAUGAGGGAUAUAUGUGACUGGUUGAGCGCCCAGAUGGGGGAUAUAUCUGACUGGUUGAGCGCCCAGAUGGGGGAUAUAUCUGACUAGUUGAGCGCCCAGAGAGGGGAUAUAUCUGACUAGUUGAGCGCCCAGAGAGGGGAUAUAUCUGACUAGUUGAGCGCCCAGAUGGGGGAUAUAUGUGACUGGUUAGGCGCCCAGAUGGGGGAUAGAUGUGACUGGUUAAGCGCCCAGAUGGGGGAUAUAUGUGACUGGUUAGGCGCCCAGAUGGGGGAUAUAUGUGACUGUUUAGGCGCCCAGAUGAGGGAUAUAUGUGACUGUUUGAGCGCCGAGAUGGGGGAUAUAUGUGACUGUUUGAGCGCCCAGAUGGGGGAUAUAUCUGACUGGUUGAGCGCUCAGAUGGGGGAUAUAUCUGACUGGUUGAGCGCCCAGAGAGGGGAUAUAUCUCACUAGUUUAGCGCCCAGAUGGGGGAUAUAUGUGACUGGUUAAGCGCCCAGAUGGGGGAUAUAUGUAACUGGUUAGGCGCCCAGAGAGGGGAUAUAUCUCACUAGUUUAGCGCUCAGAUGGGGGAUAUAUCUGACUAGUUGAGCGCCCAGAGAGGGGAUAUAUCUCACUAGUUUAGCGCUCAGAUGGGGGAUAUAUCUGACUGGUUGAGCGCCCAGAGAGGGGAUAUAUCUCACUAGUUUAGCGCCCAGAUGGGGGAUAGAUGUGACUGGUUAAGCGCCCAGAUGGGGGAUAUAUGUGACUGGUUAGGCGCCCAGAUGGGGGAUAUAUGUGACUGUUUAGGCGCCCAGAUGAGGGAUAUAUGUGACUGUUUGAGCGCCCAGAUGGGGGAUAGAUGUGACUGGUUGAGCGCCCAGAUGGGGGAUAUAUGUGACUGUUUAGGCGCCCAGAUGAGGGAUAUAUGUGACUGUUUCAGCGCCCAGAUGGGGGAUAUAUGUGACUGGUUGAGCGCCCAGAUGGGGGAUAUAUCUGACUAGUUGAGCGCCCAGAGAGGGGAUAUAUGUGACUGGUUGAGCGCCCAGAUGGGGGAUAUAUGUGACUGGUUAGGCGCCCAGAUGGGGGAUAUAUCUGACUAGUUGAGCGCCCAGAUGGGGGAUAUAUCUGACUGGUUGAGCGCCCAGAGAGGGGAUAUAUCUGACUAGUUGAGCGCCCAGAUGGGGCAUAUAUCUGACUGGUUGCCGCAUGAAGCGUUUACGUCGGUGUAACUUUGUAGCCCUGUAGGUGCUAUGGUCAAGUGUCGGUAAUAUGGUCUUAUAUCGGUAAUAUGCCAUAUUAUAUGGUGUAGUGCCGGUAAUAUGGUCUUAUAUCCGUAAUAUGGUGUAGUGCCGGUGAUAUGGUCUCAUAACGGUAAUAUAGUCUGAUGAAGGUAAUAUGAUCUAAUAUCGGUAACAUUGUCUUACAUCGUUACUGUGAUCAAAUAUUGGUAAUAUGGUCUAAUAAUAUGGGUGAUAUGAUCUAAUGCAGGUAAUAUAGUGUCAUAUUGAUAUACAUUAUCUAAAAUCGGUAUAUGGUCUAAUAUAGGUAAUAAAGUCUAACAUCUGUAGCUGGUCUAAUAUAAGUAAUAUGGUCUAAUAUAGGUAAUAUGGUCUAACAUCUGUAGCUGGUCUAAUAUAGGUAAUAUGGUCUAAUAUAGGUAAUAUGGUCUUACAUCUGUAGCUGGUCUAAUAUCGGCACUGCGCUUUACAGUCACAUCGAUGUAUAUCCUCUAUACUCCGGGACUUCCAGUACGGCUGUACACUGUGAUGUGUGGACCAUUGAUAUGACUAUCGGGUUGUACGAGUAUAUUUGUACCACUGAUCUCUUAUGUCGAAGUAUCCCGUGAAGGAACAAAUAUAUAGUACUCAAAACAAGUUAAGGAACAACCAAGAUUGCAAUACCCACUUAUUAUGCCAGAUUGCCUCUAUUCAUAUAGAAACAUAGGGUGUUCUUUAACUUCUUUCGAGUAGUAUACAUGCACUUUGUUUUGUUAAAUCAAGGCGUGUGUCAUGUGUAUGACGUAUUGAGCUCGUAUUAAGAUGCAGAGUACACAAAAUUGUACUAAGUGUUAUAUGUACUGUGUUAUGCACUGUUAUAAAUUCGUUAUCUAUUUCAUUUGUUGAAUAUGACACAUUGUCACAGCCGUUGACUUCCUCAUAACCGGAUUUGACGUCACAGGAGUUUCGAAACAUUAAGUGCCUGAUUGUAUUGUGUGUCAAAUUAAAGUGAGUCUUGUCUCUGUUUGAUAGUUAUACUGAUGGCAAAAAAUAAGAGAACGUGUACAUCCAGAAUUGACACAAAAUACUAACGUUCGCCAACUGUUGGCACGAAACGCUGACGACAAGGGUAAAUUGUCUUAGGUAACAAGUCGCUACUUGGCUGUAAUAUUGACGAUGCGACGUCAAAUGUGAAAACAUUCUUUCUAUUACGUUGUGCGUUCCCUUAUUUCUUCCCAUGAGUAUGCCCUGUGAGAAAAUAGUUCAUCAAUGUUGAUUAAUUAUUUACAAAACGACAGAGGCUAGCCGUUUAGUCUUUCACAAGAUCACAUUUAAAUCUUGCAGCGAAAGGUCAUCAAAAUAUUUUGGACAAUAAAUCCAUCUCAACUAA